rnacentral:rRNA from 1 species
UACGGAGGGGGCGAGCGUUGUCCGAAGUCACUGGGCGUAAAGCGCGCGUAGGCGGGCGAUUAAGUGAGAGGUGAAAGGCUGGGGCUCAACCCCAUGCAGUGCCUCUCAUACUGGUCGUGCUUGAGGGCGGUAGGGAGAAGUGGAAUGGCUGGUGUAGCGGUGAAAUGCGUAGAUAUCAGUCGGAACACCGGUGGCGAAGGCGGCUUCUUGGGCCGGUUCCUGACGGCUGAGGCGCGAAAGCUGGGGGGAGCGAACGGGG